UGAGCCACGGCCAGGCCCGGCCUCCUUCCACCCGGCCCUGCUGUGCGCGCGGCGGGUGCUGACCUGGCGAGGCCGGACAGGGACCAGGUCGGGGUGAAGGUCACUGACACCUGGACUUGUGGCCAGUCCUCGUUGUGGUCGGAGUGGGAGGCCCACGGGGAAGAGUGUAUCACAGCCAUUGGGAACUUUCUUCACCCAUCAAAGCCUCGGGGCUGAAGCAUCCUGAACAAGAACUCAGAAGAGUGAAAGAAACAGUUACCUGUCGGCUGCAGCUGGUACCAGCUCCCCACCCUGUAGAGAGCCCAAAGCAUCCUCUCUCUCCCCACUCACCCAGCACCAGACUCUGCCCCGUGACCUCAGGCUGCACCUGCUUCCCGGCCCCAUCCAACCUUCCAGCCUCACUUGAUCAUCAUGGGCCACUGGCCAACACACAGGGCAGUGCCAAGCCCAGGCCGUGUGCACACAUGGCUGGGUUAGUAGCUGAAAACAUUGUUUUUUUCUGGCCUCACAGUAAUGGCACCUGCCCCCAUUUUCUGUGAUUGAAUUUUUGGAUCCUGCUACCAGGUUAUGAUAGAUGUUAUGAUAUGUCUCAAGAUGUUGAGAUAAAGGUAAUAAAACAGAUAUAAAGUCCUGGCUCAGGAAUUGUU